GAAGUAGCGGUUAAAAACCGUACUCCGAAUUGCAAACUCGGGAACGAAUACUUAAAAUUCCUACUUCU
rnacentral:tRNA from 1 species